CGGGGACCGACCCCUUGCGUGCCGCAGCUAACGCAAUAAGUAUCCCACCUGGGGAGUACGAUCGCAAGGUUGAAACUCAAAGGAAUUGACGGGGGCCCGCACAAGCGGUGGAUUAUGUGGUUUAAUUCGAUGCAACGCGAAGAACCUUACCAGGGCUUGACAUCCUACUAACGAAGUAGAGAUACAUUAGGUACCCUUCGGGGGAAGUAGAGACAGGUGGUGCAUGGUUGUCGUCAGCUCGUGUCGUGAGAUGUUGGGUUAAGUCCCGCAACGAGCGCAACCCUUAUUGUUAGUUGCUACGCAAGAGCACUCUAGCGAGACUGCCGUUGACAAAACGGAGGAAGGUGGGGACGACGUCAAAUCAUCAUGCCCCUUAUGUCCUGGGCUACACACGUAAUACAAUGGCGGUCAACAGAGGGAUGCAAAACCGUGAGGUGGAGCGAACCCCUAAAAGCCGUCCCAGUUCAGAUCGCAGUCUGCAACCCGACUGCGUGAAGUCGGAAUCGCUAGUAAUCGCGGAUCAGCAUGCCGCGGUGAAUACGUUCCCGGGCCUUGUACACACCGCCCGUCACACCAUGAGAGUCGGGAACACCCGAAGUCCGUAGCCUAACCGCAAGGAGGGCGCGGCCGAAGGUGGGUUCGAUAAUUGGGGUGAAGUCGUAACAAGGUAACCGU
rnacentral:rRNA from 1 species